CCUGGCUGCCUGACUUGCACAGCCAAGCCCUGUGUGAACACAGGGGCUAAGGCUGUGUGAUCACCUGUAACACUUCGUGCUCAAACCUGAGAUCCAGGUGCUAUAGUCAGCUCCUCAGUCAUCUGUUUAAAGGUCUGAGCGCCUUCACUGAUUGUGGAAGUUACAGGGAGUUGUUUUCUCCCACCUAGAGGUGUGUCGUUCAUUGUUGCCACUGAAGACCAGGCUGCAGAUGAUGACAGAGUCUACUCCAGCGAGUAUCCACUUUUUGCUGCUCCUACAAAACCACAUUCAAAUGAAGCAACAGGAGCAAGACCCAACCCUCUCCUCCAUGGGAGUGAGCAAGAGCAUCGGUACCUCCACAUGACAGCAUAUCUAUCCUGCUUGAACUGUGAAGCAGGGAUCUGCCAAGAGGUGGAAAAGGUGCUCCCCUUGCUCCAGCCUUGCUUUACAGACACCCACAACUGACUUAGAUCCUUCAGCAGAGAGCAUAGACCGUGUGGCAGAGGCCUACAGGUGGGAUUGCAUCUGGAUGACCAUUUAUUAUGUCCUCUUCUUCAGGCAUAUGCUCUUCUUAUGAGGUACUGCAAAUUCAUGUGGGCUUAGUUUUCCUUCUACUUAAACAAACAAACAAAAAACCCCCCAAAACUGUGAGCCAGUUUCCAGGACAUUCUUUAGCAGGCAGAGUGGUUUAUGUUGUGGUGGCAGCUCUAAAACCAAGGGUUUAACUAAUUGAGUCAGUUAAAAUCCUGUAUCACUUCCUGGACUUUAUCAAAAUGUAAAUCUCUCUUAUUCUGAUAGCAUUCAUGAUGGGUAAUUGAUUCAUUUGUGCCUAAGGUGUCCAGGAAAGCAAUGGAGUCACCAUCCCUGAUGGUGGUCAAGAACCGUGUGGAUGUGGCACUGAGGAACAUGGUUGGUGGGCAUGGUGGGGAUGGGUUGGCAAUUGGACUAGAUGAUUCGAAUGUUCUCUUUUUGUUGUUUUUUUUUUCAAAAAAAUCCAAUUAUUCUGUUCUUUUUUAUUAAUAUCGUUAUUUACAACUAUAUGCCUUAGAAUCCUCAAACAAUACUUACUGUUUUCCAUCCUGGAGGCGGCUGAAUUACAGUGGUGAGCAAAAUGCCCUUUGUACAUAUGGUAAGUAAUCAGCUGCUGAAUUUCAUGAGGUGCUUGGUGAUCUUUGGAUUGGGGAUGCCCUAUGUGUUGGUCACUCCUUGGCAGGAGCAGACGUAGGCUCUGGAUGAUGGGUAAAGUGAGAAUUCCAGAGAACUGAACAAGAUAAGAUGAAGGUUUAUGAUAAGCCAUCCUUUCUCUCACACACACUCUUAAAAAAAAAAAAAUCAUUAUAUUUAUUCAUUUUUCAAUGUAACAAAAGAAAGUGUGUCCAAAAAGGAUUUUCUGUUGCGUAAGUAAAAGGUAUCAAAGUGAUUCAAAAACUCAGAUCUCCUCUCUAACCACAGCACAAGCUAUAAAAAUCUUCCCCUUUCUACUGUCUUACCCAGUAUAUUUCAUCUGGGAUCUGACGGGGCUGCUCAGGGAAUUAGAGACAAUGCUGUACCUGUAUCCAUGUUUGUAAAAGUCCGCUAUGGUGGUAGUUCGUCAUAUGGACCUGUUGCAGGUGGCCACCUGUUUGCACUCCAGGCAUUCUGAGGGCUUGACAAAAACACACUAAACAUAAUGAAAAUGUCUGUAAUGUAGUCUCUAAACUUUUCAUUCUGCUGCCACGCUUGUGCAAUUUCAAAUGAUGCUGUACGUCCUCCAUUCCAGUAGCCUGACUGAGCAUCAGCAUUCAUUUACAAGGUGACUGGAGUGCUACUUAAGCAAAGUAAAAAUACAUUCAGUUUGUUUUUCAGUCCACCAUCGCGUGGUUAGUUCUAAGUGAAUUUCAUGUCAAGUUGAUGGCCCAGGCAUCCUCCUUUUAUCUAUAAGCACUUAUUCCAGCGGCAGAACAAAAGCCCUUCUGCUCUGAUCCUUAACAGUAUAUCUUCCUACAGAAGCGACUUCAGAUGGCAGCCCCUCCAAGCCCUUGAUCUCUCUGCCAGCCUCUGUAACGAAGGUGCAGAUUUGCGAUGGUGCUUUCUAUGAUGUGCUUCCCUAGCAGAAACUCGACUGGGAAUUUCAAAUCGUCUCACAGAGAGCAGCGCUGUCUAAUAUUAUUAUUCACCGAUGUUCUAAAAAUAGUUGUGGUUAGAUUAUAACAGAUAGAAACCCAUGGAAAUGGACCAGAAUGAUAACAGUUACUUUGGAAUGAAAAAAAAAAAAAAAAAGGAUUGUUUCCAGAGGAAAAUAUUUAAUUAUUUUAUAUGCCUAUUAACUGCCAUGAAGGGUAUUGGUGAUUUCUUAUUAUUUUUGUUGUUGUUGUUGGGUUUGGACAGAAGAGCCUGGAUUGCAGAUGCCAAGAAAUAUGGUAACAGCAGCAUUUCUCACAAACUUUGCCUGUUUUGUGAAGUGUUGGCCGUGACACCUGAUUAUGCGACUGCCCACUGUGUAGGAGUUGCAAGGUCAGCAUGAACUAAACAAAGGAAAACCGUGGUCUCACCCAAUAUACAGCCCACAGCAAACACAGAGUGUGCAGGGAGUAAUGAGUUUGCAUGAUAAGGUAACCGUCUUGCUUGCCUGAAACAGGUCUUCCAAAAUCCAUUGUUUGUAACUAUCAAAUCUCAUCCUUACUCACCAUUUUUUUUCCCUCCUCCCUUUAGAGUAUAAUCGUUGUUUUGGGUGCUGUUGUCCUUGAAAACUGCUUUAGAAGCUUUUCCCAUCAGGUAGCAUCAGCUGUGAGUGAGAGCAGCCUCCUUAGAAACUGCUAUUUUAUCCUGCUCAACUGCAGACAUAGGCUCUGAGCCUUCAGUACCUGUUCUCCAACUUCAGACAUGACAGCCAGAUGUUUUCUCUCCCCACCCAGACUGCUGGCAGCACACAUACCUCAGUUGGUAAAGCUUUAAGACGUCCAUCAGUCUCAUGGGAUCUCUGGUAAACACCAAGAAGAUUCCCUGGAGUGCUUCAUCAAGAUCAAGUGCAGCAAAAGACUCAGUGCUGUCUCAUUCUCUGCCCAGCCUUGGGCACAGAUUUGAGCAACAUGAGAGCUGCUGUGACCCAUGUCAUCUGGCAGUGGUCCCCAAGAGCUUGUUUACACAGGAUAUUUUUUCACGAGAAUGUAAUUACACCGCUGAAACUACAUGAGCGUGAAAACUUUGCACGUGUAGCAGAGUUAAGCCAGGACUUCUGCGUUAGCCAGGGCUCGAUUCUGCAAGGUGCAGAGCCCAGGUGUGAGGCAGUGACUGUCCCUUGUUCCCUGCCAUCAGCGGCCCAGGAGAACAGUCAUUGUCCUUCAGGAAUGCUUGACAUCAUUCGGAAAUGCUGAGCACCUUCCAGGACUGGAACUACUGGGAUGAACAGGGCAGAAACAGGCUCAUGCUUUGCAUUUGGCCCAGGCUAUGCUUUUAAAGGACAUGAGGAAGUUCUUUAUUCUGGACUACGAGCCUGCUCUUGCUUUGACUGAAGCAAGUGGAUUUUGUUUCUGUACUUUGAUGUAGAGAGUAGAGAUUGAUUUUCAUCAGCUUGUGGCUGUUGAGUAGCAAGUCAGGCAGUCUGGCUGCUCCACAGCAUCACAGGCAGGCUGAGCCACAAACACAGCAUCAUCAUUUUUUUUCACACCUUCCUCUGCUCACCUUCAUCAAACAGCUCCUCUUCAUUAAAGCAGUUCCUCCGCUUCUCUGCUCGCUUUACAUGUUAUGACACUGCUGUGAAGCACAGAAUUCACUGAAGCCUUAGAGAGAAAUAGAUAAAUGAGACAUCUUGAGCCAUCACUACAGAGAGAGAAAAGGAGGACAUGGUGCUGAUUUCAGCAAACACUCAUGUUUCCACAACACUUACUCACUGUUAGGCUACUCCACAAACCUUUUAUGUAAAGAAAAUUUGCAAGAAUAGCAACGAAGAUGACAUAAUGAAUGAAGUGAGCAGUUAUUUUUGGCUGCCCCCAAUUUGGGUGACAUUGAGUUUGGCCACAGCACCUGCCAUGAUGGCUUGAUAAGGUCUGAAAUAGUGCCUGAAUAAUAAAUGAGGCUCACAUCUGGUAAAAUUCAGUGUUUGAGGUUUUUUUUUUAAUGUUCUUUUAUCAUGUUCCUGUUGCUUGACUUUAUCUGAAGGGAUUAUGUUUAGAGAGCAUACAUAGACAAAUAGAUAUGCUAAUAAAAAAUGCUAUAGUUGAUAAGGUACAGGCAACACGGAGCAUUCAGUGCAGGCUACAACCAGCUCCAGACUAAAAAUGGUUACUAACGUAACUGAAAUUUGUACUUUGGUCAUUAAAAAACACAGAUAACAAAUGAGUAAAUGAUCCUUUUGACUGGUUUACUUUCAGGAGGCUAGAUUAUAUUUGUCAGUGUAGAUCAAGAGAAUGGUGAAAGAAGGGAAAUAAAAGGAGUUGCGCUUUCUAUUCUAGUAACUAGAAUGAGGGGUCGAGGGGGAAAUGCAGGUUUCAAUCUGAUAAAUAAGUGCAUGAUAUAUGCCGGGCUUAUGGCAGUGUUGUUGCAGGCCAGGAGAGCUCGGGAGGGACGUGUAUUUCUAAGCCCUGUGAGACUGGCAGUUCUCACUCUUAAUCCAGUUCCCAUCUUCUCUGCUAGUGGAGAGAGUACCCACGUUCAGAGGCUUUGACAGGACUCAGCAUCCAACAGCAUCUGAUGGAUCACCUAUUACAGUCUGAAGACUUUAAAUCUGUCCAAGAGUGGUUUCCAAAGCUCAGAAUGAACGAUUUUGUAAUCAGCGACCUGACUUCGAGAGCUGCUUGAUAGUACAAAAUCUCAUUAAAGAUAAAAGACUAAAAGAAAAGUAAGCCUUCCAAACAAUUUUCCAAUUAAAAUUGACUUUUCUGGGGGAAAACAGAACAAACCAACAAAAAACUGGUUAUCUGGAAAGUUGAUACUCUAAUUUCUCAAAUGCAGAAUCCUGAAACACCUGGUAUCACCAACUCCCAGCAAGAAGCAGCAUUACUGAACACUGUGGCAGAAGCCUGGAUUCUAGAAAGAUCAGGGAAAAAGAAGAAACUGCAGUAGAAACAUUUGGCUUGUCACAAUUGUUAUAUGGCACUGUAGCUGCAACUUCGUAAUGUGCAAUAAAACUGACAUGACGAGUUUUCUUUGAAAAGCACUUUGGUUCUGGAAUAAAAUCACAUGCAUCAAAAAUAUGGCAUAGCCUUCUGUAUUGCAUAAUGUAUUGCAUAAGAGAAAAUAGAGAAUAGCUGUUCC
ensembl:lncRNA